rnacentral:rRNA from 1 species
GACGAACGCUGGCGGCGUGCCUAAUACAUGCAAGUCGAACGCUUCUUUCCUCCCGAGUGCUUGCACUCAAUUGGAAAGAGGAGUGGCGGACGGGUGAGUAACACGUGGGUAACCUACCCAUCAGAGGGGGAUAACACUUGGAAACAGGUGCUAAUACCGCAUAACAGUUUAUGCCGCAUGGCAUAAGAGUGAAAGGCGCUUUCGGGUGUCGUUGAUGGAUGGACCCGCGGUGCAUUAGCUAGUUGGUGAGGUAACGGCUCACCAAGGCCACGAUGCAUAGCCGGCCCGAGAGGGUGAUUCGCCCAACUGGGAAUGAGAAAAGGCCCAGACCCCCAAGGGAGGCAGGAGUAGGGAAUCUUUGGCAAUGGGCGAAAGGCUGACCCAGCAACGCCGCGGGGGUGAAGAAGGUUUUCGGAUUGGAAAACCCUUGUUGUUGGGAAGAACAAGGGCCUUAGGAAACUAACCGCCCCUGAUGGUAUCCAACCAAAAAGCCACGGCUAACUUCGUG